rnacentral:rRNA from 1 species
UACGAAGGGGGCUAGCGUUGCUCGGAAUCACUGGGCGUAAAGCGCACGUAGGCGGAUUGCUAAGUCAGGGGUGAAAUCCUGGAGCUCAACUCCAGAACUGCCUUUGAUACUGGCGACCUUGAGUCCGGGAGAGGUGAGUGGAACUGCGAGUGUAGAGGUGAAAUUCGUAGAUAUUCGCAAGAACACCAGUGGCGAAGGCGGCUUUCUGGCCCGUAACUGACGCUGAGGCGCGAAGGCUGGGGUAGCGAACAGG